GCCUACAAGGUGUUCUGAACCCACCACACCAGCCCCGGUCCAGAUUCUGGCUGUCAAGUCCCAACCUUGCUCUUCCGCGCACUCCAAGCGGACAACGAGGCGCUCUAAAGCCUACAAGAGGAUUGGGUCCAAACGAGCCCGCUGCCUAAAGAAGCGGUGGUUUUGACGGUUGUCGGUUGGGCCUACGCCCCCUCCCCCGCCAUCCCCCGUGCGCACGACGGCACUUUGGACCUCUCGUUGGGGGUUGCAAAGGUUGCACGGCGUCUCCCUUCAUCGGUAAGCCGCGGCGGCCAGCCUUUGAACGCCACGUUGAGGAUCGUCCAGUCAAAACAGCAGCAGCGAUGCCGAACGGUCUGUGAUGAUGACCUUUUUACGCGGCGUUAUUAAACAUGACAAAGCUGGCGCUGAUUGCCAUUCUUGAGAGCGUUUAACUCAGUUGAAAAUAGCAGCCAAGCCAGCCGGCGAAAUAACCUUGCCGCGCUCAAAAAAAAAAAAAAAAAAAAAAAAAAAGGGGUUAUCAAUCCUCACAAUCGUCUCGGUGUCUCUCUGCUACUAGGCUGCCUUGGCGGAGGCUGGGACAGAAUUUUAAAAAUGUGCAACAAGAUGAGAAGAGAAAGAAGAAGGGGGAGGAGGGAGGAGGGGGGGGGCUGCUUUGGAUGCCACAGUCUUGAUGACGGUUGUGAACAAAUUGCAAAGUUGAAGCCGUAAUGAUUGCUCAGAACGGUGGUUGAUUUGCCUUUGCAAACGUUUGCGACCUUGCUGGGGAAACCCCCCCACCCCCCUCCUCAACAUUCGCGAUGUGCGCACCCAUUCGCAAACCGCCGCCGCUCAGUGAGACGCGGUCCAGUGGCGAAUUUUACGGGCUAGUAUUAAUCUCGUAGAGAAGAAAGUGUUGGUCGCGUCGCCUGUCGGUGGUUGGAGCCGCUUUUGAUGUCAUAUCAAAGUCUGCUUGCAAAAGACGAGCCGAUUGUCAUGCUGAUGCGCUCCCAAAUUGUCUGCUUGCUAUACAAGGGGUGAUUUUUUUUUUAAAGGCUGUUGCGGUGAUUCACUCUCAAUAAUUCCGCUGGAUAAAGACUCGGUCAUAUUGUAGAUUGAAGCGUUCAAAAA